rnacentral:rRNA from 1 species
UACGGGGGGGGCAAGCGUUGUCCGGAAUUAUUGGGCGUAAAGCGCGCGCAGGCGGUCCUUUAAGUCUGAUGUGAAAGCCCACGGCUCAACCGUGGAGGGUCAUUGGAAACUGGGGGGACUUGAGUGCAGGAGAGAAGAGUGGAAUUCCACGUGUAGCGGUGAAAUGCGUAGAGAUGUGGAGGAACACCCGUAGCGAAGGCGGCCGACUGGACCACACCUGACGCUGAGGCGCGAAGGCCAGGGGAGCGAACGGGG